GGUGGCUCAGUGGUAAAGCGCUUGCCUUGCAUGCAUGAGGCCUUGGGUUCGAUUCCCCAGCACCA
rnacentral:tRNA from 1 species